rnacentral:rRNA from 1 species
GACAGAGGGUGCAAACGUUGUUCGGAAUUACUGGGCGUAAAGCGUGUGUAGGUGGCUGCGUAAGUCGGAUGUGAAAGCCCUGGGCUCAACUCAGGAAGUGCACUCGAUACUGCGCAGCUUGAGUACCGGAGAGGUUGGUGGAAUUCUCGGUGUAGAGGUGAAGUUCGUAGAUAUCGAGAGGAACACCUGUGGCGAAGGCGGCCAACUGGACGAGUACUGACACUGAGACACGAAAGCGUGGGGAGCAAACAGG